ACAUAAUAUACAUGCAUAGGCGUUGGAUACAGCCGCCCACAGACAGGCACACCUUGCUGAGUUGGAAUCACUGCACCAUAACCAGUGGGUCUCCUGAGCCUUUCUGGCAUGCCCAGCCCCUUGCUCACAUCUGCCCUGGAUCCCAGAAGAAGCAGACCUACCUUGGUACCAUUCUUAGGAUCCCUAGGAAGGGACAGAGAUACAAACCUGACUUUGAUGGCCUUCCAGAAAGCCAGAACACCACUGACAUCCCUUUGGGUCAGUUAGAGCCAGUGGGAGCUCAACUUCUCAGAGCCGUUGAGCUUCGCCUGGCACCAGUGAACUGGGGAAGCCCUCUAGAACAACCCAGCCAGAGGAGGUGGGACAGCGGCUGGAUCCUGACUGUGGGUAAAGAGGUAGGCACUCCCAGGGAGGCUGCUUUACUCUGUCUCUUCCCCACAGAGGAGGAUUGCCAAAAGUAUAUCUUGAAGCAGCAGCAGGAGGAGGCUGAGAAGCCUUUACAGGUGGCCGCUGUAGACAGCAGUGUCCCACGGACAGCAGAGCUGGCGGGCAUCACCACACUUGAUGACCCCCUGGGUAAGGGUCCAAUACUGUUCCCAUGGGACAGGUGGAAUAGGACAUUGUGGUGUUAAGAGCAUGGGUGUUUGAAGCAGAUGGGCUGUGAGACCUUGGGCAAGUCACUUAAUCUUUCUGAGCCUCAGUUUCCUCACUUAAGAAAUGGAGAUAAUAGUCCUACCUCUGGAUUGCUGUGAGAUGCUCAUGAAAUAAUGUCUGUCUCGUGGUUAAUCCAGAGCUUAGCCCCUGAGGUACUCAUCUUUCCUCUCCUGGAAAGGGCACUUUCUCUGAGGAGUAUCAUCUUGGGAAGGGUGCAGGGCCCAGGGUUGCCUAGGCAGGGGACUCUUGGCUGGAUCCCUCCCAAGCCUUCCCAUGGAGCUCUGACCACCACCCUUGUGCUCUGCACCCAGGGCAUAUGCCUGAGCGUUUCGAUGCCUUCAUCUGCUAUUGCCCCAGCGACAUCCAGUUUGUGCAGGAGAUGAUCCGGCAACUGGAACAGACAAACUAUCGACUGAAGUUGUGUGUGUCUGACCGCGAUGUCCUGCCUGGCACCUGUGUCUGGUCCAUUGCUAGUGAGCUCAUCGAAAAGAGGUUGGCUAGAAGGCCACGGGGUGGGUGCGUGGAUGCAUGAAGCCCUGCCCUGGGGUCCAGAUACUGGGCAUCUCCUCCUAGCUGUGCACUGUCCAGCCUGGGCACAGUGGGCCCUUCCUGAAGCUAUUCCCAGGGGAUAUGCUGAACUAAGUUGCCACAGGACCUGCAGCCUGCCCACUCUCCCCUAGGUGCCGCCGGAUGGUGGUGGUUGUCUCUGAUGAUUACCUGCAGAGCAAGGAAUGUGACUUUCAGACCAAAUUUGCACUCAGCCUCUCUCCAGGUGCCCAUCAGAAGCGACUGAUCCCCAUCAAGUACAAGGCAAUGAAGAAAGAGUUCCCCAGCAUCCUGAGGUUCAUCACUGUCUGCGACUACACCAACCCCUGCACCAAAUCUUGGUUCUGGACUCGCCUUGCCAAGGCCUUGUCCCUGCCCUGAAGACUGUUAUGAGGCCCUGGGUGUGUGUGUAUCUGUCCGCCUCUCCAUGUACUUCUGCCCUGCCUCCUCCUUUCGUUGUAGGAGGAAUCUGUGCUCUACUUACCUCUCAAUUCCUGGAGAUGCCAACUUCACAGACACGUCUGCAGCAGCUGGACAUCACAUUUCAUGUCCUGCAUGGAACCAGUGGCUGUGAGUGGCAUGUCCACUUGCUGGAUUAUCAGCUAGGACACUAUAGAACAGGACCAGCUGGGACUAGGAGAAGGACCAGCAGAGCCAGCUCUGCUCUGAGCCAUUCACACAUCUUCAGCCUCAGUUUCCUCACUUGAGGAGUGGGAUGGGGAGAACAGAGAGUAGCUGUGUUUGAAUCCCUGUAGGAAAUGGUGAAGCAUAGCUCUGGGUCUCCUGGGGGAGACCAGGCUUGGCUGCGGGAGAGCUGGCUGUUGCUGGACUACAUGCUGGCCACUGCUGUGACCACGACACUGCUGGGGCAGCUUCUUCCACAGUGAUGCCUACUGAUGCUUCAGUGCCUCUCUGCACACCGCCCAUUCCACUUCCUCCUUCCCCACAGGGCAGGUGGGGAAGCAGUUUGGCCCAGCCCAAGGAGAUCCCACCUUGAGCCUUAUUUCCUAAUGGGUCCACCUCUCAUCUGCAUCUUUCACACCUCCCAGCUUCUGCCCAACCUUCAGCAGUGACAAGUCCCCAAGAGACUCGCCUGAGCAGCUUGGGCUGCUUUUCAUUUCCGCCUGUCAGGAUGCCUAUGGUCAUGCUCUCAGCUCCACCUGGCAUGAGAAGGGAUCCUGGCCUCUGGCAUAUUCAUCAAGUAUGAGUUCUGGGGAUGAGUCACUGUAAUGAUGUGAGCAGGGAGCCUUCCUCCCUGGGCCACCUGCAGAGAGCUUUCCCACCAACUUUGUACCUUGAUUGCCUUACAAAGUUAUUUGUUUACAAACAGCGACCAUAUAAGAGCCUCCUGCCCCAAAGCUUGUGGGCACAUGGGCACAUACAGACUCACAUACAGACACACACAUAUAUGUACAGACGUGUACUCUCACACACACAGGCACCAGCAUACACACGUUUUUCUAGGUACAGCUCCCAGGAACAGCUAGGUGGGAAAGUCCCAUCACUGAGGGACCCUAACCAUGUCCCUGAACAAAAAUUGGGCACUCUUCUAUUCCUUUUCUCUUGUGUCCCUACUCAUUGAAACCAAACUCUGGAAAGGACCCAAUGUACCAGUAUUUAUACCUCUAAUGAAGCACAGAGAGAGGAAGACAGCUGCUUAAACUCACACAACAAUGAACUACAGACACAGCUGUUCUCUCCCUCUCUCCUUCCCAGAGCAAUUUGUACUUUACCCUCAGGCUCUCCUCUGGGGAGAAGGUGCCAUGGUCUUAGGUGUCUGUGCCCCAGGACAGACCCUAGGACCCUAAAUCCAAUAGAAAAUGCAUCUCUUUGCUCCACUUUCAGCCAGGCUGGAGCAAGGUACCUUUUCUUAGGAUCUUGGGAGGGAAUGGAUGCCCCUCUCUGCAUGAUCUUUUUGAGGCGUUUAGCUGCCAUGCACCUGUCCCCCUUUAAUACUGGGCAUUUUAAAGCAAUCUGGAGAGGCAUCUUCUACAUGUUUUGUACGCAUUAAAAUAAUUUCAAAGAUAUCUGAGAAAAGCCGAUAUUUGCCAUUCUUCCUGUAUCCUGGAAUAUAUCUUGCAUCCUGAGUUUAUAAUAAUAAAUAAUAUUCUACCUUGG
rnacentral:sRNA from 1 species